rnacentral:sRNA from 4 species
AUCAAUUGGUCGCAGGUUCGAAUCCUGCACGACCCACCAAUUUAACAUCAAACUCAGAUGUUGAACGUGAAGGAUAACGUUGCGUCAGCAACGGCCCGUAGGGCGAGGCGAAGCCGAGUCAUCCUGCACGACCCACCA